CCUACGGGAGGCAGCAGUGAGGAAUAUUGGUCAAUGGGCGUAAGCCUGAACCAGCCAAGUCGCGUGAGGGAUGAAGGUUCUAUGGAUCGUAAACCUCUUUUAUAAGGGAAUAAAGUGUGGGACGUGUCCUGUUUUGUAUGUACCUUAUGAAUAAGGAUCGGCUAACUCCGUGCCAGCAGCCGCGGUAAUACGGAGGAUCCGAGCGUUAUCCGGAUUUAUUGGGUUUAAAGGGUGCGGAGGCGGCCUUUUAAGUCAGCGGUGAAAGUCUGUGGCUCAACCAUAGAAUUGCCGUUGAAACUGGGAGGCUUGAGUAUGUUUGAGGCAGGCGGAAGGCGUGGGGUAGCGGUGAAAUGCUUAGAUAUCACGCAGAACCCCGAUUGCGAAGGCAGCCUGCCAAGCCAUGACUGACGCUGAUGCACGAAAGCGUGGGGAUCAAACAGGAUUAGAUACCCCUGUAGUC
rnacentral:rRNA from 1 species